rnacentral:rRNA from 1 species
UCCGUAGGUGAACCUGCGGAAGGAUUAUUGUCGAAACCUGAAAAGUAGAAUGACCCGCGAACCAGGGGAGCCGCGCGGGCGGGGUGCUCUUGCGCCCCCUCCCAUGUCUCCCUCCUUGUCCCCCUCAUGCGAGCCUACGUGUGCUCCGGGCGACUAAUGAACCCCAGCGCAGAAAGCACCAAGGAAUACUUAAUAGAUAGCCUAUCCCCCAUGCCCCAUACGCGGAGCGCACGGGGGAACAUGUGCUUCUUUUGAAACAAAAAUAACUCUCGGCAACAGAUAUCUCAGCUCUCGUAUGGAUAAAGAAUGUAGCGAAAUGCGAUACUUGGUGUGAAUUGCAGAAUCCCGUGAACAAUUAAGUCUUUGAAUGUAAGUUACGCCCGAAGCCGAGGGUACGUCUGCCUGUAUCGCGUCGCCCCCUCGCCUUGCUCCCAUAAAAGGGAAGCGGCUGCAUCGCGGGACAGAUACUGGCCUCCCGUGUGCCUAGAGCUCAUGGAUGGCCUAAAUGCGAUUCCACGUCGAUGGAUGUCGUGGUAAGUGGUGGUUGAAACUCAACUCUCGUGGUGCCGUGGCUACUUCUCGUCGCGCGUGUGGUCUCCAGGACCCUUACAAUGCUUGGGCGCUCUGACCGUGACCCAGGUCAGGCGGGAUUAGCCGCUGAGUUUAAGCAUAUCAAUAAGCGGAGGA